rnacentral:rRNA from 1 species
AAAGCGCGCGUAGGUGGUUCGUUAAGUUGGAUGUGAAAUCCCCGGGCUCAACCUGGGAACUGCAUUCAAAACUGACGAGCUAGAGUAUGGUAGAGGGUGGUGGAAUUUCCUGUGUAGCGGUGAAAUGCGUAGAUAUAGGAAGGAACACCAGUGGCGAAGGCGACCACCUGGACUGAUACUGACACUGAGGUGCGAAAGCGUGGGGAGCAAACAGGAUUAGAUACCCGGGU